AAUUUUCCAAGGCCUAAUUUUGAAUAUAAUAUUCCAGAUGAAAUAAGUCGUUUCUGCCAGGUGUUGACACAUGUCCUAUUUGAUGACUUUUCCAACUCAUUUCAAUUUUCGUUGAGUCACACGCUACGUGUAAAAUUUAUGUAAUACAUGAGCGUUGACACUUUGAUUUACCGGUCAACAUUUAUUUACCGAAAUUUCGAUGUCUACAGUCACAACAAUAUAUUUUUCACAAACAGAUGGUAAAAUUGUACACAUCACAUUAGGAAAGUUUCAAUCUUUUUUGCUUCCAUUGUAACACAUUUCUAAUUAACAUUUCGUACUAAAUUUUGAUUAAACUUUAUUUAAAUGUUUGAUUUCAGAAUUUCACAAGUUGAAUUACCACCUCAAUAAUAAGAAAAAAUACAUUUGAUCUUCGGUUAUAAGGUGACUUCACCUCUCUCACUCUCCCUCUCCACUCUCUCCCAAAACUCAAUUUUGAACUUUUUAUGCAUUUUUUUUAAUCAUUGGCUGUCUUUAUUAUCUUUUGCAGUUGUAUUCACAACUGUCCAAGAGAGUACAACAAAAAGUCAAUUUUUCCUUGGAAGCAUCUCAAGCUAGGAACAAGUCUGGUAUCCAAUUACAUUCAUGGCAUAUAUAACACUUGAAAAAGCUAAUGAUGUUUUUCAACAUUGUUUAGCAUGUAGCAAGCUUUGUUUGACUAAUAUACUCAAUACUGCAUUUGUAAUUUUGCCAUUGGUCCAACUUUUUGAAUAAACAAUUUCUCUUCUUUGCACUUUGAAAAUAUAGAUUUUUAAUUUUUCUUUUGGCAUCUAAAUUUGUUAAGUUUAUGAUAAAGUUUAGCAAAAUAUCUCAUAUGAUUUUCAAUUCCGCAGCAUCGCGCAGGUGCAAAUUUCUAGUGAAACUAACUAAACCACAACAAAAUAGGAAAAAAAGAAGUAAGAAUUGACACCAAAUAAUAGUACAAAUUAAAGACUACUAGGGUGCGUUUGUUUGCACUCGCUAGCAUUCACUAGACUGGAUUGGAUUAAGUGGGACUGCAGUGCCGUGUUUGUUCCACGCCG
rnacentral:lncRNA from 1 species